CCGNCUGAAGGCUGUCGGUGUGAUUAAGACAUGCAAGUCGUACGGUGUAGCAAUACACAGUGGCGCACGGGUGAGUAAUGUAUCGCUAAUGUACCCCGAACUCUGGGAUAGCCAGCCGAAAGGCUGGGUAAUACCGGAUAAGACCACGACCUGGCAUCAGGUUGUGCUCAAAGUGUUCGCCGGUUUGGGAUCAGGCGAUAUGGUAUCAGGUAGUUGGUGGGGUAAUGGCUCACCAAGCCUUCGACGCCUAGCCGGACUGAGAGGUCGGCCGGCCACAUCGGGACUGAGACACUGCCCGGACUCCUACGGGGGGCUGCAGUAAUGAAUCUUCCGCAAUGCACGAAAGUGUGACGGAGCGACACCGAGUGAAGGAUGAAGUUCUUCGGAAUGUAAACUUCUAAAAUCUGCUAGAAAGUUCUGAUCGGCAGACUACAAGUGGCGACUAACUCUGUGCCAGCAGUCGCGGUAAUACAGAGGCCACGAGCGUUAGGCGGAAUCACUGGGCUUAAAGCGUGUGUAGGUGGAUGACUAAGUACCUUGUGAAAUCCCACGGCUCAACCGUGGAACUGCUUGGUAUACUGGUUGUCUUGAGGCACUCAGGGGCGAGCGGAACAGAUGGUGGAGCGGUGAAAUGCGUAGAUAUCAUCUGGAACGCCAAUGGUGAAGACAGCUCGCUGGGGGUGUACUGACACUGAGACACGAAAGCCAGGGGAGCAAACGGGAUUAGAUACCCCGGUAGUCCUGGCCCUAAACAAUGUCCACUAGGUUGUGGCACCACUGACGGUGUCAUGGCCGAAACGAAAGCGUUAAGUGGACCGCCUGGGAAGUACGGUCGCAAGGCUAAAACUCAAAGGAAUUGACGGGGGCUCACACAAGCGGUGGAGCAUGUGGUUUAAUUCGAAGCAACGCGCAGAACCUUACCUGGGUUUGAAAUGGCUGGAUUAUCUUGAUGAAAGUCGAGUACGCCCUUCGGGGUGGAACAGUCACAGGUGCUGCAUGGCUGUCGUCAGCUCGUGUCGUGAGAUGUCGGGUUAAGUCCCUUAACGAGCGAAACCUUUGCCCUUAGUUACUAACGGGUUAUGCCGAGGACUCUAAGGGGGCUGCCGGUGUCAAACCGGAGGAAGGUGGAGAUGACGUCAAGUCCGCAUGGCCUUUAUGCCCAGGGCCACACACGUGCUACAAUGGUCGGUACAAAGCGAACCAAUGCCGCGAGGCGGUGGAAAUCGCAAAAAACCGACCCCAGUUCAGAUCGGAGGCUCCACCCGCCUCCGUGAAGU
rnacentral:rRNA from 1 species